GUAAGGGCUCUUAGCGGAGUCGCCCUGAGAAGGAAUCUGAGACACUAUUCCUAGCUCUACGGAGUGCAGCAGGUACGAAUUUUUUGCAAUACACGAAAGUGUGACAGAGCAAGCCAAAGUGCUUUCCGCACAGGAAAGCUUUUCAUUGCUGUAAAAAGGCAGUGGAAUAAGGACUGGGUAAGACUGGUGCCAGCCGCCGCGGUAAUCCCAGCAGUCCAAGUUGCAGCCAACUUUAUUGAGUCUAAAACAUCCGUAGCUUGUUUGAUAAGUUCCUUGUGAAAUCUUAUAUCUCAAGUAUAAGGCGAGCAAGGAAUACUAUCAGACUAGAGACCGGUAGAUGUAAAGAGUACACUUGAGGUAGUGGUAAAAUAUGUUAAUCUCAGGUGGACUAACAAUGAGCGAAGGCACUUUACAAGGACGGAUCUGACAGUGAGGGAUGAAGGCUAGGGGCGCAAAACGGAUUAGAUACCCGUGUAGUCCUAGCAGUAAACACUGCUCACUAAACAUCGGUCUCUCUUCGGGAGAAAUCGGUGCUGAAGCGAAGGCGAAGAGUGAGCUACCUGGGAAGUAUAGUCGCAAGAUCGAAACU
rnacentral:rRNA from 1 species